AUUGGUUCUCCCGCUCUCAUCCCCCUAGCGGUUGCUAGCGGGCGAUUGCGUUUGCUAGUGUUUGGUACCAAUCAUACAAAACGCUCCACACCGCUUGGGAUCGCUCGAAAUCGCUGGAUUUCAAAAGCUCCUUUCGGCAAGCGUUUGCGGUUGCGGGCGAUUGCGAUUGAUUUAAAAAAGGAAAGAAACUGAAAAAGAA
rnacentral:lncRNA from 1 species